UACGGGGGGGGCAAGCGUUGUUCGGAAUUACUGGGCGUAAAGGGCGCGUAGGCGGUCCGCUAAGUUAGAUGUGAAAACUCAGGGCUCAACCCUGAGCGUGCUUCCGAUACGGGCGGACUAGAGGUAUGCAGGGGAGAACGGAAUUCCUGGUGUAGCGGUGGAAUGCGCAGAUAUCAGGAGGAACACCGGUGGCGAAGGCGGUCUCUGGGCAUUACCUGACGCUGAGGCGCGAAAGCGUGGGGAGC
rnacentral:rRNA from 1 species